rnacentral:rRNA from 1 species
UACGUAGGGCGCAAGCGUUGUCCGGAAUUACUGGGCGUAAAGCGUGCGCAGGCGGUUAUAUAAGACAGUUGUGAAAUCCCCGGGCUCAACCUGGGAACUGCAUCUGUGACUGUAUAGCUAGAGUACGGUAGAGGGGGAUGGAAUUCCGCGUGUAGCAGUGAAAUGCGUAGAUAUGCGGAGGAACACCGAUGGCGAAGGCAAUCCCCUGGACCUGUACUGACGCUCAUGCACGAAAGCGUGGGGAGCAACAGG